rnacentral:lncRNA from 1 species
AACUGCUUACUAGGUCCUGCUGUGUCACAGGUCUUUGCAUUUCCAUUGAGGAGCCAUAUGGAGGGCUGCAAAUAGCACCAGACACGCAUCUCCGAGCGCUGUGUGUGGUGGAUCUCGGGAGUCCGGUGUGCAGGGGGCAGUCAUCGUGUGAACAGUGGUACAAACUGCAAGAAAUCUCUUCUCCAAACUACUGAAUGUAGGAACAAGCUGUGAAGAAUGAUUCAGUUGGACACUCUGUUUCCUUCAUUUGAGCUCAUUUUAUUACUUUGCCUAGUUUUUGGAUCCAGAGCUUUGGAACAGCCGUGCUGCUACAACUCUCAGUCCUUUCCUUCAUCAAGGUAUCUGGCAUGUGACAGAAGUGAUCAAAGCUGGAGGCAAGAAAGGAAUCAUGAAUCAUCUUCCCAACACCCACCCCAGCUUCUUUUGAGAGAUGCUCCUGUUGGCUGAUUGGAGAGAUCACUGGUAGGUCUGUUUAAAAGACUAAGCACAAAAUUGUAGGCAGAAGUCAAUCUCUGCUGCAUGGAAUACUGCAGGUCAGUACAGCCCAACACAAUCAAGCAGCAUUGACUUCUGAAAAGUCCAAGGAUAAGGAUUUUGGUCAAUCUGACAGGAGUCUUCACAAGUGUAGAGGGAAGUGGGGUCACCCAAAAGGGAUUUUUUCACAGUUGCUUGUGAUAAAUAUUGGAGCCUGUUUGGAGCAUCAGGUGCUGAAUGAGCUUUGCAUGUGGAGUGGUCUUCUCCUCCCUUCCUCACACUCCAUCGUGCAGAGGGCAAAAGCUGGCACUAGUUUUUCUUUUCAAAGGCACUGAGAAGUGCGCUCCAAUUAGGUAAUGCAUUAUAUAUGGCAGACAUCACUUGCUUUUCUCCCACAUUGUGGCUGAAGGUUGCACGAUGGGUUUCUAACUCAAAAACAUCCAUGUAACAGGCUGCAUAGAUGCCAGCUUUUCAUAGAUUGCUGAGGGUGGCCUUUUGUGAGCUGCUGCUCAAAGCCAGGUUUUGUUUCAAAGUACAACUACUAAAGCACUGCUAGCAACAGUAGUGGUAGAAAAUGUCCUGUUGCCUUUUAUUCCACAAACAAAAUACAGCUCCACAUAUGAAUAAAAACAAAGCCUUAAACA